CCGAGAUAGGGUUUCUUCGGAGCCCGACCUCCAACCCAUUGUCUACCAUACCUCUGUUGCCUCGGCGGGCCGCAUGCCCCCCUUCACGGGGUGCUGCCGUCGGCUUUCGAGCUUUCGAGAGCCCGCCGCAGGACUUACAAAACUCUUUUUUAAAACAGUAUUCUGAGUGAGAAUUUAAUAACUUCA
rnacentral:misc_RNA from 1 species